GUGGACAAGUGGCUCACCUGAAAACCCUCUCUGCAUCAUUACUGUUGCUUGUGCUGUCCAGACUGAAAUUCAUGCAGGUUGCUCAGUCAUAGGGAGUCUGGGGAGAAGCAGUCACAAUUCCACUGCUGAGGACCACCAAGGGAAGAUGACAACACAGAAUAUUCAACAGCUGUAUUAAACUUUGCAGAGCAGAGCCGGUGUGAACGCAACAGGAAAGACUUUUGCCAUCUGAACCUCACCAUUGCCUUGGCGCACGCUUGGCCACCAUCGGCGCUGGCCCAGCAGCAGCACAGCUUUCCCGGGCAGCACUCGGGCUGGCACAAAUGAGCUCGGAGGGAAAGGGUCCCCACCAGAUCCCUCCCACUGGCACGGCCGCAGCACCUGACAGAUCUCCCUGGGGCAACUGAAGCCUCUGGAGCACCACACGAACCCACAGCUGAACCUGAGCUAAAAUCCUGUCCAAGAAAGAGGAAGGCUGCUGUGAGGCAAACUGAAUGAACCUCUGAAGAAAUGCCAGUGUGACUGGGAUUGACAGCGUGCCUGGGUGAGACCCACACAGCCAGCCUGUUGGACCAUACAGCCCUGUCAUCUUACGUGGCCUCAGAUGUGUGGAGACCUCACAGAUAUUUAUCCCCUUCACAUGCUUGGAAAAGAGAUGGAAAAGGGGCUUAUUAGAGCUUCCUGAAGGUUAUUUUACCCUGUGA
rnacentral:lncRNA from 1 species